UGACCUCAAACCUAUAUCCAUUAUCUGGAAUCGUACCUUGAUUAAGCUUUAUCUAUAUAUAUAUGGAUGGAAUCGUUAUGUGGCGAUCAAAAUGGACUUCUCAUGCCUUACAUUACAUCAUAUCUUAUGUAAUAUUCCUUUCACACAUCUCAUUAUACAAUGGAUACUAAAUACUUAAAUUAAGUAAAAGAUUAAGUUUCGACUGAUUGAAUAUUUAGAAGUUAAUUGUAAUCAUCUCUGUCUACAGACUGACUUUAAAAUAUUAUCGUAGAAAAGUAGGGGCUGCUAAUAGUAGUAGCUAGGGGGGUUUUGUUUUUCUUCCUAUGUAUAAAGAGACAAAAUGAAGUAUUGAGGUUGGUUCUUAUAACACUCAUCAAACAAUUUGGUCACAAACCAUCAAUAAUGAUAUAAAUCCUGCAAAAAAAUAAAAUACAACGCAAUAACUUGAAGUCUUUAUAAUUAGAACAUUAAAUUCAUGUUUGGGAAUGGAUGUCUAUUCAUCAUGUCCAGAAAAUAAAAGACUGGCCGACCACACAAAAAAAAAAAAAAAGAAAAAAAAAGUUUUGGGGGCAGUCGGUGAUGGAAUGAGUAGACGUAAGGGGUGAUGAAGUCAUGAAAAAAGAAUUAAUACAUACAGACAAGUUGUUGUUGGACAAACGCCUAAGACAGAAGAAGACGAGAGAAGGCCAAAGUGUAGAAAGAAUUUUAUUUUUUUAAUUAGUAAGAAGGGCAAUUAGCA
rnacentral:lncRNA from 1 species